UCCUAAUAGCCACAGGAAGACAUUGUCGAAACAUAAAGACUGAAUCAGAGUGUUGUGUAUCAUACGGACGGCUUUCAUGCAGUGACAUGGCUACAAUAUCAACGUCACAUAACUUGUGUGUCUGUCCUGUGACAGUAAUAAUCUAGGAAAAUCAGGUGGAUGGAGAAUACUGGUGGUGACUAUCAACAACAUCUCUUGGGCAGAACUGAUUGAAGUACACGUACUUACUGGGAGAAUGUGGAUGUUACUUGUCCUAGCGCUUUUUACAUCAGGUAUCCUAUGUGACGACACCUUUGAGUGUUACAAUUGCGGCAGCAGCGAUACGGCGCCUCCAGGGACUGUUUUCCGCGGCCUGACAGCCAUUGCCGGCUGCGGAGAGGGGAACUUCAGCGCAUCUGACGCGAAGAAUUACCGGAGAGGAUGCGACACCAAAAACGGCGAAAAUAUGUGCGCUAAACUUGUCCUCAAGGACAUACAUGACAGGACAUUCAUAGAACGCAGAUGCUGGGUCUUCAACGACGACUGCACAACCUCCAAUACGACAGUGAAAGAUACCGUUUACGGAGAGCUAACCGGUGCUAUUCAUUGCUGUAAUAACACUAAAAACUGUAACUCUGCGACGGGACAGUAUCAGACCCUUCCUAUAGGGGUUAUUUGUAUGUAUGGCGUUGGGUUGUAUACUUUACUCCUUAUUUUACAAAGUUUAUGAUGAAUUUUUUCAGCCAGAAAUGAUCUCGCCGGACAUAGUUUUAGAACAACACCAAUCUUCCAAGUGUAAUAGGUUACCUGGACAGGAACGUUGACACCAAUGGUUCAUCAGCAACCUUCAUGAUCUCUCUUAGAAACCAACCAACGUAAGGCCGCUGUUUCUCUCCGUCCAGUCACGGUGCUUCUGACAAUGACAAUGUCUUUUGACAUUGUCUCUGUUCCAUCCCACUGCUUGUGACAUUGUCACUCUUCCGUCCCACUGCUUGUGAGAUUGUCACUCUUCCGUCCCACUGCUUGUGACAUUGUCUCUGUUCCGUCCCACUGCUUGUGACAUUGUCACUCUUCCGUCCCACUGCUUGUGACAUUGUCACUGUUCCGUCACACUGCUUGUGACAUUGUCACUGUUCCGUCACACUGCUUGUGACAUUGUCUCUGUUCCGUCCCACUGCUUGUGACAUUGUCACUGUUCCGUCCCACUGCUUGUGACAUUGUCACUCUUCCGUCCCACUGCUUGUGACAUUGGGUGAUAUGAAUAAAGACUAGCAAAUGCUUUUAUCUAAAACUCCAUGUACAUUUACACUACACCUUUCUGUACAAAAUUGAAGUAAAAGCAUAUGCUAGACUUUAUUCACAUCAGCCAAUGUCACACUUGCGUCACACUGCUUGUGACAUUGUCACUCUUCCGUCACACUGCUUGUGACAUUGUCUCUAUAUUGGUCAUGUGUUGCUGAACAAUUACUGGAAAUAAACUGAUUAAUAUAACUGA